AGUGGAAUAAAGACAUUACUGCUGCGGAACCUACAUCCCUUGGGACCAGCUUCGCUAAAGCCCAUCUCAUUUCACUGUCCUUUGCUCCUAGUUGCCGUGGAAACCCAGAGGUAACUACUCAGAAGCUCGGAGAGCCGAGAACAAUAUUGACUCCGGUGUCGGAACGCUCCACACAAGGACAUCCGUUCCCUGGUGCCUCUGUGCACACGCUCGUUGACCGCUGUCAAAGCACUGGCUGGCUUUGCUGUAAAACGCUGGUAGGCAAAACAUGAAGCCCAGGGUGUCUCCAUCUCUUCCCAGACUGAAGCAAGCCGUCUUCCAGUGACAGUCAGAAGCUCUGUGACCCUCUCUUUCAAUUGGAUUGUGAUUGGUUCCUAGGCGUCUCACAGUUGUAAAAAUAAGGGGCUUUAAAAUCGGAUGAAUCUUUCUAAAUCACCCUGUAUAUCUUUACUUCUACUAUUUAUGCAUCUGCAUAAUAGUGUAUGGCAAUAUAUUUGCUCUUGUUUUGCUUUGUACUGUUGUUCUGCUGUAAUAGAUGGCUUUCCCUCUGGGAUUAAUAUAGUUACCUCUCUCUCUCGCUCUCUCGCUCUCUCUCACUCUAUCUAUCUAUCUAUCUAAAUUGGGCACUAAAAAUUGCAGAACAGUGCCGUAUUGAAAUUCACUUAGAAAAUCAACAAAACAUAUCAUUUGACCAGGGAGGCAUUAAGUGUAUGAGAACAGAGAAAGAAACAGUGAGUGGGUGCAUUUGCAUGAGUAAGAUUGUACCGAGGGCAGGUGCUGAAGACUGAAUCUGAAAGGGAAAAAAUUCUUUAUCUUGUGCUGAGACUUGUAGGUCACCCUGCCUUCACACCUGUUGCAAAAGCAGCAGUCUGCAUUUUCAGCGUUUGAACCAUGAGCUCACAUCUAGAGGAAAAGCAGUAACUUUACCACAAAUGCAUCAGUGGCCCCUCAGUCUAUCGCCAAGAGCAAACGAAAUCAAUUUUCCUCUCUCGUCCUCGGAAAGCAGUCCCCACUAAGCAGCAUCAGCGUCUGAGUCCAGAUCUUUCUAAAUGUUUUCUGUCAGUCCCUCUUUGCCGAUGCUGGAACAAACAGAGAUGCUGUAAUCCCUGCAUCAAUUACAUGCAUCUGCAGAGGAAGCUUCACACUCAAUAUGUAUGAGAUUAGAGAGCCGAGUUCAAUUGCCUUAUUCAUGUUUGUGAGGCACUAACGUCAGGACAAAUUAGGGCGCCGGCACAUGCAUUAGCCGUGUUGAACACUUUCUGUUCUCCUUCACAUGCAUGGUUUCGGAUGGAGAGGCUUGUGCGAACACAGCUGGAUAUGUUUGUACUUGUAGGAGAAAAGCAUUUAUUUACAGUAUGUUCUGUAUGCAAAUAAGAUGUUACAUGUUAUGCGACUUUACAAUAUUCCCAUGGUGGCAAAUGUGCAUACCGUGAGCAAUGAUGUCAUCUAUCACAAGCUCAGGCACAUGUCUCCUAAGGCAUAAUGGUUCAUGUUAAAUAUUCAUGACAUGUGAUUCUCAAGGGCAUGUGGCAUCACCAUUUCUAUGUUUCCAGUCUUUAAAACAUUAUUUCCAGCAAAACACAUUCUAUAGAGGUAUGCAUGAACCUUACAAAGCAAGUUUCCUGUUCUGUCAACUUUCAGCAAUGCUCAUGAAGAGGAUAUUCACUGAAGAUAGUUUGUAACGCAUUCAUAUCGUUCAUACAAAUCUAAUUUACUUAAAAAACACGAACGACAACUGUUCCGCUUCACUGAGUCCGUCUCUCUGUCAUUUGUGCUUCUCAAAUGCUGCUCCAUGCAGAGAUCACCAGUCUAGAGUGCAGGCCUGAUAAGACGUUUCUAUGUCAGAAGGCAGAAAAAUAGCAAAUGAGGAGCGAGUCGUAUCUCUUUAUGGAAUCUAAUGCUUGAUUUUUGUCUCAUCCUUCAUCUGCUGUCACUGAGACGGCGCCACUUAACCCACAUUCUGCCUCUGCGGCAACUGCAGCUGCUUCUGCUAGGCCCGGGGGAGCAAAGAACCCUCAUUGUAAAUGUUUUGUGCCCCCUCACCUUUAUAUUCUUGUUUGGUUCUGUGAGGUAGGUUGCCUUUCAGAUUGCAUUUAUAGGACUGACACCGAGCUAAGCAAGACUUUUAGUCUCAGUAGCUUAUCUGAUACACAGCUGUAUGGAAACCCCUGGCCAAAUUCUAUAUUUUGUUGAUUUUUGAGGCAAAACCAAAAAUGCUAACUAUUCAAAGAAAAACUCCUUUCUGCAAAUGUCAUUCCACAGAUGCUAUAAAGAAUAUACAGAAAAAUAAAAUAGUUCAAAAGUUUGGACAGUGCCAUGUAAAAGACUUCAUGUGGUAACUGUAAUUUAUAAUUACAUUGUUUGAAAUAACCAUUAAUUUGAAUGAAACUAAUUAAUUUACUUGGCACCACACCAAGUCAUUUUAGGUUGAUCUGAUGAGCCAUUUUACAGUGUAGGAAUACAAAAAGGAGCAACAUUUGAUGAAAAGAUCACCUUGCUGACUGUAAAGCCUUAAACAUAAUUGUCUUGAUAGGCCUUAAUUGACCCAUGAGGACUGGAUAGGUAGGUCAGAAAUAAUUCCAGAGCAUAAUAAAUUAUCAGACUCUUCAACCCUUGCAUUAACACUCCACAACAAUGAGCUCCUUUAAAAAGCUGGCUGAAGAUAAAAUAAGGCUAAUUAAUGCAUACAAAGUAGUAGAAAGAAACAUCUAUACAGCCACGAAUCAGUGGAAGUCAAGGCAAGAUCUGAAAGACCAGGAAAAUAUAGAUACAUAGAUACACAGAUAUAUAGCUAUCUUCCCCAUCAUUUUCUGGCAAGCAUCCAAGCAGUUCUUUCUGAAAAUGAAGCUAACUGAUGCAUAUAAAUCAGUUGAAAAGCCAUCUACAUAUCUUUGUAUCUGUGGAAGUUAAAGCAAGAUCUAAAAGACCAAGAAAACUCUCAGAUAGAACUGCCUGUAGUUUAGUAAAUAGUAACUUGUAAUAGAAUAUGUUUGAGCAACUAUUCAAACACUGUAUGGUAGCUACCUCUUUAGCCAAUAUGAUAAAUAAAUAAAGGUUCUUGACCUAUGUACAGUUAAAAGUUUGGAGACCCCCCCAGACAAAAGUAUACAAUCAUUUUUUUUAUGUUGGGGAAAAACACAUACAAUAUAAAAUGUACCCUAACUUUUGCACAGGCCAAUUUUUCCCUCCAAAUAUAUUAAAUCGGCAAAUAAAUGGUCGUUUUGCUUUAAAGUGUGCAGAAGUAUGUUAUUUGUAGAGGAUAUGGAUUCAUUUUCACUGAGAAAAUAACAGAAAUGUGUAAUUCUCUCCAAAAACCUUUGUAUAUGACUGGGUAACCUCACCCCCAUCCCACCCCAUCCCACCCUUCCACGACCCAUGUUUCUGCUGCCGUCUCCGCUUUAUCUCUGCUGCGUCUCUUUAGCUGCGCACGCUGCCUGCGUUGCCAGGUCGCUGGAUGCGCGUGGACUCCCGCGAGAAGCCUGUGAGUGAUCAGAGGCGACAGCGUGGCACGGCGGAAAGCGAGCGACGACAACACACACGCAUGCUCCACCGUGACAGGACCCAAGCGGCGUCCCAUGGGGCUCCAGUCACUGGAACUGUGGGACUGGCUCUAGUCCAAAGUUUAGCGGCUCAUCUAUUCACAGAAUCCUUUCACUGCGGCCUUGUAUGCCUGAACAGACAACCAUUUAAUCGAUGGCAACAGAGAUUACGACAAACCUGCACCGAAUACGCUCGGCCAUAUCAGCAGCGAUUCCAGGACUUCCACUGUCAUACAGAAUACACGCUAGAGGCAGCAAUAAGUGUGAACCUGACUUUACAGUGAUUCUAAUAUGAAUAUUUAAGACAUUAUGAGGUGCAUGAUUUGAUUUGAUUCAAUACCAUUUUUUAGGAAACAGUUCAGUGCAUCAUGGAUUCUCCCUUUUUACUAUAAUUUGGUGAAAUUCGGUAUUUAUCCUUUAGGAUAUGCAUCCCAAAAUCACACAUUACACUUUGAUCUGAUUCAAUUUGAAUACCAUUUUUAGAAAACAGUUCAGUGCAUUAUGAAAUCCCAAAUUUCACCAUGAUAUGAUUGGAGAAUUUUUUUUUUUUUUGAAGUGGUACAGUUCGUCAAGAAAUCUCAGACUGUAUCCAAAACCACACACCACUAUACUACACAUACUGUGCUAAUAAAUGCACUACUAAAGGACGUGUACUCUUUUGACAUACUCUUUAGUAUAGUAGUGUUUUGAUUUGGAAGCAGUCAAAAAUUUCAUCAGAAUUUUUUUUUUCACAUGUGAUUCUUUAGGAAAGAAUUGUAAACAUAAAAUCUCAAAUCUCACUGUGAUUUGAUUCAAUUACAAUAUGAUUCUUUUGGAAAUUAUGGAGCAAAUCACAAA